CCUACGGGAGGCAGCAGUGGGGAAUAUUGCACAAUGGGGGAAACCCUGAUGCAGCGACGCCGCGUGAGUGAAGAAGUAAUUCCUUACGUAAAGCUCUAUCAGCAGGGCAGCAAAUGACGGUAACUGUGUAAGAAGCCCCGGCUAAAUACGUGUCAGCAGCCGCGGUAAUACGUAGGGGGCAAGCGUUAUCCGGAUUUACUGGGUGUAAAGGGAGCGUAGACGGUGCGGCAAGUCUGGAGUGAAAUGCCGCAGCUUAAGGCCGGAACUGAUGGGGAGACUGGUGAACUAGAGUGCGGGAGGGGUAAGCGGAAUUCCGGGUGUAGCGGUGAAAUGCGUAGAUAUUGGGAGGAACACCGGUGGCGAAGGCGGCUUACUGGACCGUAACUGACGUUGAGGCACGAAGGCGUGGGGAGCGAACAGGAUUAGAUACCCGAGUAGUC
rnacentral:rRNA from 1 species